rnacentral:rRNA from 1 species
CAUGCAAGUCGGACGGUAACAGGGAUUGCUUGCAAUCCGCUGACGAGUGGCGCACGGGUGCGCAACGCGUAUAGAACCUACCCUUUACAGGGGGAUAGCCCAGAGAAAUUUGGAUUAAUACCCCGUAGUACCUAUUAGAGGCAUUUCUAAUAGGUUAUAGUUUUCGAACGGUAAAGGAUGGCUAUGCGUCUUAUUAGCUAGUAGGUAAGGUAACGGCUUACCUAGGCUACGAUAAGUAGGGGCCCUGAGAGGGGGAUCCCCCACACUGGUACUGAGACACGGACCAGACUCCUACGGGAGGCAGCAGUGAGGAAUAUUGGACAAUGGGCGGAAGCCUGAUCCAGCCAUGCCGCGUGCAGGAAGACGGCCCUAUGGGUUGUAAACUGCUUUUAUACGGGAAGAAUAAGGGAUACGUGUAUCCUGGUGACGGUACCGUAAGAAUAAGGACCGGCUAACUCCGUGCCAGCAGCCGCGGUAAUACGGAGGGUCCGAGCGUUAUCCGGAAUUAUUGGGUUUAAAGGGUCCGCAGGCGGGCAAUUAAGUCAGAGGUGAAAUGGUGCGGCUCAACCGUAGCACUGCCUUUGAUACUGGUUGUCUUGAGUCAUGGUGGAGUGGCCGGAAUAUGUAGUGUAGCGGUGAAAUGCAUAGAUAUUACAUAGAACACCGAUCGCGAAGGCAGGUCACUAACCAUGUACUGACGCUGAUGGACGAAAGCGUGGGGAGCGAACGGGAUUAGAUACCCCGGUAGUCCACGCCGUAAACGAUGGAUACUAGCUGUCCGCUGCCUUGAGCAGUGGGCGGCCAAGCGAAAGUGAUAAGUAUCCCACCUGGGGAGUACGUUCGCAAGAAUGAAACUCAAAGGAAUUGACGGGGGCCCGCACAAGCGGUGGAGCAUGUGGUUUAAUUCGAUGAUACGCGAGGAACCUUACCAGGGCUUAAAUGCAGAAUGACAGGUUUAGAGAUAGACUUUUCUUCGGACAUUUUGCAAGGUGCUGCAUGGUUGUCGUCAGCUCGUGCC